GACGAACGCUGGCGGCGUGCUUAACACAUGCAAGUCGAGCGGAGCGGCGAACGGGUGCGUAACGCGUGAGUGAAUGCCCCCCUCUCCGGGAUAACAGUUGGAAACGGCUGCUAGUACCGGAAAGUUGGGGAUGACUAGCGUCCUAUCGGCUUGUUGGUGGGGUAGUGGCCUACCAAGGCGACGACGGGUAGCCGGGCUGAGCGGGCGACCGGCCAAAUUGGGCUGAGAUACCGCCCGAACGCCUACGGGAGGCAGCAGUGGGGAUGAGGGCACAAGGGAGGAAGCCCUGAUGCAGCAACGCCGCGUGCGGGAGGACUGCCUUCGUGUUUUAAACCGCGUUCAGCCAUGACGCGGUAGUUGCAGAAGAAGCACCGGCUAACUACGUGCCAGCCGCCGCGGUAAUUC
rnacentral:rRNA from 1 species